CACAUGAUAACUAUCAACAGCAGCUACAUACAGCUACAAAAACAAGUAUAACAUCUAAAACCUACCUGAUCCAGGCUUCCACCUAAUAUUCCUCCAAGCUGACUUCCUCCAGCUGGUCAGCAACAAGAACGACGAGGCUUUGCUCCAUGUUUUUAGUUGGUGGUUUUGUUGCCUGCCGCUGCUCAUAUGCUUCACAGAGGAGAACAAGGCUCAUUGAAAAACCCUCAGUGUGAAUGAAAGGAAUGCUGGUUGGACACGAAGGCCCUCUGCAUGAAGCAUUUCCUUUGGAAGUCUUUAAUGUGGAUGCGGUAGAAGAGGAGAAGAUCAUUCCACAUGACGUCAAAGAUGUGCCCAUAGGCUUUGCCAUGUUAAGGGGAGAAAUCUACUGUCUUAACCUUGAGUACCACCGUAAUAUGAAGUACUCCUUGAGUUCUUUCAGAGAGUCAUCAUGAACAUUAAACCAGACCAAUGCUCAGCAAGAAUCCAUGGGCUCAGAAAUAAACUGCUUAGAUAAUCACCUGUAAACAAAUGACUGCACAUCAUCUCAAGCCCCUACUAGGAGGAAGCUGUUAUUUGGGAAUGGCUUUGUCCUUCACACAUUGUUCAUGUUUGCAGCAGUAUAGUUUGUACAGGGCAGGUCAGGUAUGGACAAAGCAAGUCAAGUAUGGAUGAAAAAUGAGCCUUACAUACUGCUCCGAACUGAAGGUUUGGUAUAGUUCAAAUGUGCAAACCUUUUGAGGCACUAACUUUCACAUAUAAUGAAAAACAAACAAUUUCUCUUUACAAUUGUGUUAAAAGACUCUUUUAGACAUGGAAGUUUAUUGUAUGGUUUGACAAAGCUCUUGCUAUCCCACAUUUUGCCUCUGCACAACCCUACUCUACCAUAUCUCUUUCUCCCUCUUAUUCUCUCAUUCCCAGUUUUGAAAGUAUGAGUUCGAUUAACACACGUAUUUUGGGUGUUUACAAUGUACAACAUUGUUCAUAUAGAGAUUUUAUGAGCCUGUCAUUAUCUAUUUACCUCAUUGUACAACCCCACCUUCUGUGUCUGUCUACAACCCCCAAAUUUGGAAUUUAAAGCCUCAGCUUAAUGGCAAAUUGUAUAAAACAGUUACAAUAAUGCAGAAAUGUGUUUGUUUAACUAGGAAAGUUUCUUGCAUUGACAAUGUAAAAUAAUGGUUUUAAACUCAGUAGUAAGUUGAAACAAGUGAUUAAAAAAGGUAAUCAACCUUGACAACUUAAUGUUGAGACAACUAGACCAGUGUAGUUAACUUGCAUUUUUAAAAAAAGGUAGCAGGUGAACUUUUCCAAGUUCAACCAACCUGAAAUGUCUUACAGUGCAGUGAUGUGUGUUGGGCUCUAAGCAGUGUGGAAAUCUCACCAAGUUGUGGGCUGCCCGAUUUAGCAAGGUAUCUAGAGGCAAAUGCUAAUGCCAAACUACCAGUUUGAACUGGCUUCAACAGAGUAAGCUAACAGCUGCUAACUCCCCGCAGGCUGGGGAGCUGUGUGUCAGACAGCAGAGAGCACUGCUGCAGUUACUGUGCUAACUUUGGACAUUUUAGCAGUGCUUCCCAACAACAUUAAAACAAAAGCCAUGAAUUUUCUAAGCAAUACAUUCCCCUUCUUUGGGUUUAAAUCCAAUUUACUGCUGCAAGACUGGCAUGUCAGCAGAAGCAUAUCUGUCUAUCCAGGGUUCUAUGCACGCAGGGUCCUAUGUUCCCCAGCUCAGUAUCCUCUUAGUGACACAUUAGGGAGACCUCUCCAAGGGUUUUACGUCCUCAGCAGUGUUUUUCACCCCUAGCGCAAAUGUUUAAUGUAUGUUUCCCUCUGUAUAUAUGUUGACGUCACCCACCUACAGCUUAUAGCCUACUCAUGUUAUACUCCUUGAAACCUAUGCCCUCAAAUUUUCAGGCAAGACAGUUUGAAUGUGGAGAUAUCAAUGUCUAAAGUCAAACUGCAUUUGAAAUGUCCGUCUCCCUUCGUUCUUUUGAACAUAGGGAUGAGCCUGAUGUCAGCUAGCCUGUCUGGCCAUGUGUUAAGCAACAAAAGGGAGAUGAGCACUGCAAAUUCAAAUAAAAGGCAUUAUUUUGUCGCAA